UGUGAAUUUGACAUUGUGUGGCUAAAUGUUGGUACAAAAUGACUUUGUGGGACUUUUUUUGAUUGUGGGACUAGUCCCACAAAAAUGUUGAGAAAACACCAAAUUUGAAUAUAAAAUGAUGUAUUUUAUGCUUAUGCAAAAGUUGCAGAAAGUAUUAGUCCAUCAUGUUGGACAUGGGCAUUUCCAUUGGAUGGACAAGACCAUUCAAGGAAAAAUAAUUUUCAUCGUCCAAUGAAAUGACUUGUUAGUUACAAAACUAUUCAAGAAAAAAAAAGAUUGUCAUCGUCCAAUGAAAAGACUUGAAAGUUACAAAGGAAACUUUGGGUGAAGGAUGAUGUCAUAUUAAAAGAGCACAUGGCAUGAUGUCACAUUAAAAAAGCACAUGGUACCAAGGAUAGGAUUUGUACACUGAUUUAAGAGUGAAUUUGAUGAUUGUGUGGAUUUCUGCAAUUCACUGAACUUAGAUAUAGUGGAAUAUAUGCAAUUCAGACGGAUUUAAUACUUCAGAAUUUGAUGAUUGUGUGGAUUUCUGCAAUUCACUGAACUUAGAUAUAGUGGAAUAUAUGCAAUUCAGACGGAUUUAAUACUUCAGAAUUUGAUGAUUGUGUGGAUUUCUGCAAUUCACUGAACUUAGAUAUAGUGGAAUAUAUGCAAUUCAGACGGAUUUAAUACUUCAGAUUUUUUCAUUUACAAUAUGCCAAAAAGAAAAAGAAAAAGUGAUCAAGCUGAGGAUUCUCAGAUGUAUGUUUGGGCAAAGCUGAAGGCCACGCCAAUUAUGUGGCCUUCAAAGGCCAAAGGAAAUGGUCAAGUCGUAAUACUUUGUGACAAUGCUGAAUGUUCUGAAAAGGAAAAGGCUGGAUGAAACAUUGAAAAACUUUCAUAUAGAUUGUGAUGCAGUGAAGAAAUUAUACACAGACAAAAUGAAAAGAAACAAGAACCCUGUUUGUGAAUUUAAGGAAAAGAAUUG